GUGGCGGGAGAGUCCUCCCGCGUCAGCGUCGAGGCGCCGAAGGAGCAAACCCUCCCCGGGAAACUCUCAGGCCCCUGUACCGCCG
rnacentral:ncRNA from 1 species